AAGAUCUGACUCCCUCUUCUGGUGUGUCUGAAGACAGCUACAGUGUACUUACAUAUAAUAAUAAAUAAAUCUUAAAAAAAAAAAAAAAAAGUAGAAAGUUCAGCUCAGAACGUCUUUCCAUGAAAUGAGGGUGUUUGUGUGUGGAACACACUGGGAGAUGGACAGGUUUAAAAGGGUUACCCUGUAGCUAGUGACACCAGUUUUGUUUUGUUUUGUUUUGUUUUUUUAACCAGGGAUUUCUAAAAUACAUGGAGACUUGAGCUGAGUUCAUGUAGAAGAGGGAUUAAGGGAAGUUCUGUUUCUGGUGUUCCUUCUUCCAUGAGUUCUCAAAGCUAAGCAGCCCGUGUUAGAGCACUCUUUCCAGUGUCAGUCUGUUCACACACCAACACCUGUUUCAGUUUCUCCCUCACAAGUUAAAUGAGAGAAGUCGCCAAGAGUGGCAAGAAAAGGAAGAAGACC
rnacentral:lncRNA from 1 species